rnacentral:rRNA from 1 species
AACGAACGCUGGCGGCAUGCCUAACACAUGCAAGUCGAACGAGACCUUCGGGUCUAGUGGCGCACGGGUGCGUAACGCGUGGGAACCUGCCCUUAGGUUCGGAAUAACUCCCCGAAAGGGGUGCUAAUACCGGAUAAUGUCUUCGGACCAAAGAUUUAUCGCCUUUGGAUGGGCCCGCGUUGGAUUAGCUAGUUGGUAGGGUAAAAGCCUACCAAGGCGACGAUCCAUAGCUGGUCUGAGAGGAUGAUCAGCCACACUGGGACUGAGACACGGCCCAGACUCCUACGGGAAGCAGCAGUGGGGAAUAUUGGACAAUGGGCGAAAGCCUGAUCCAGCAAUGCCGCGUGAAUGAUGAAGGCCUUAGGGUUGUAAAGCUCUUUUACCCGGGAUGAUAAUGACAGUACCGGGAGAAUAAGCUCCGGCUAACUCCGUG